rnacentral:ncRNA from 1 species
AGCUGGAUCUAGUAAACCGUCUGAAAGGGCGGGACACAAAGCCACGGGGCCUAACGCGCCGUCCCCUGCGGGGGAGGGGGCCAUGGCAGCCCAGCCGCCGGA